ACCAUUUCUUGGCCUUUUGGCUAACAUCAUGUGUUGUAUCUAUUCUUAUCAGUUUAGUAUGGGAUGCACUAUCUAUCUGAGGGCAAUGUAAGACAUUCAAUAAAAGCUUGUUGAUUGAUAGAUUAUGGAUUUUUGAUUGAUUGAUGAAUUCACUUCAGAAGACUCUUU
ensembl:snRNA U2 U2 spliceosomal RNA